GCAGGGAGCACAGGAUUGGGCACAGCUCAUCCCUUGUCACUGUUACUCCUGACAGCCUUGGAACACACACAAAUCCUGGAGCAGACUCGCUCGAGCAGCCCCGGCACACGCCACCCCAGAACCAGGGAAGGACGCCGGUCAUGGGCAGCCGUCCGCUCGGCCACUGAGCUGGAGGAGCGGUGCCCAGAUGCUAUGGAGUGUGGACAAGCCCCGGCCAGACCUACAGUGGUUCCUGGCUGUGGCAGGAAGGGUCCAGGCCCAUUGCACAGGACACCUGCUGACCUCUGGCUGGGGCUGGCUCCAUGUGAGUGUCUUGAUGUGGAACUCGAGCAAGAUCCACGUUGUGACAACUAGAUGCCCCGGGAGAGUAAUGCCAGCCACACCGGUCACAGGUGAACCAGGUAAGCCGCAUCACUGAGUGGGGCCAGGUGGCAGCCGACUUUCCACCUGGUGACCCAGGGUGCUUCAUACUCACACCCUGCUCAGAGAGGCGUCUGCACAUGAGUGGCCCCACCAAACCCACCUUCUUUCCCAAGUCGGAAUGCCAGUCCCACUCCGGAGCCUGCAGAAAUCAUAAAGCAGACGUGACAACAGGCAGUAGAAUUUCAACUUUAUUUGGCCAAUAUGUACAGUUCCAAUUUCCAAUGUGGCAGUAAUGCCUGAGGAACUGUCAACAACCGUUGGGGCUCAAGCAUUCUGGGCGUCUCCGGCCUGAAGAUGGAGGGCCCUGGUUCUGCUCGGCACAGGCCUCAGGCUGCCCCAGAGGUCAGAGCAGUGAGAGACCUGGCUGGGGAGGGGGAUCUGGCCUGGCCCUGCUGCCCCUGUGACAGAGACCUAAAGUCUCCGUUUAACCAAACAAUGCGAGAGCCACGCUCAGUCACGGCAACACUGGCAUGAGGUGAGUGUGACCCGUCCAGCCUGGCUCGGUCCCUCUCCACACAGGGGACACCAGUCUCCAGGGCAGCCCAGCCAAGGUGCAACAGACACCCUGAUGUCUAAAAAUGUCUAAAAAUCCCACAGAUGGAACUUUUUAAAAGUGACAGCAUAAACCUAACAGUGCCAGUGUGAGAUUCCCAAACAUUUAAGCGAGCGCUCUGGACAAACCGUG